rnacentral:rRNA from 1 species
CCUAUCCAUGGGCAGGUUGAAGUGGGGGUAAAACCCCAUGGAGGACCGAACCGACCCCCGUUGCAAUGGUGGCGGAUGACUUGUGGAUAGCGGAGAAAUUCUAAUCGAACUUGGAGAUAGCUGGUUCUCCCCGAAAUAGCUUUAGGGCUAGCGUUGGGAAUGAGUUUAGCGGAGGUAAAGCACUGAAUGAGCUAGGGGGCGCAAGCUUACUGAACUCUAUCAAACUAAGAAUGCCGCAUAAAUGCUUCCCAGCAGUCAGACUGCGAGUAAUAAAAUCCGUGGUCAAAAGGGUAACAGCCCAGACCCACAGCUAAGGUCCCCAAUACAUGCUAAGUGGAAAACGAUGUGAGAUUGCAUAAACAACCAGGAUGUUGGCUUAGAGGCAGCCACUCGUUCAAAGAGUGCGUAAUAGCUCACUGGUCGAGUGAUCUUGCGCGGAAAAUUUAACGGGGCUAAGCAUGUAACCGAAGCUUGGGAUUGCGCAAUGCGCAGUGGUAGGGGAGCGUCGUGUACGGGGUGAAGUACGAUCGAGAGGACGUGUGGACUGUACACGAGUGAGAAUGCCGGAAUGAGUAGCGAGAAUUAUGUGGGAAUCAUAAUGGCCGAAAAUCUAAGGUUUCUUGGGGAAGGUUCGUCCGCCCAAGGUAAGCCGGGAGCUAAGGCGAGGCCGCAAGGCGUAGUCGAUGCACAUACGGUAGAAAUUCCGUAGCCACCGAACCUUAAACCGGAAGGACACUUUCAGAUAGCAGAACCCAGCCGUUGGUAGAGCUGGGCGAAAGGGACUGAAAUAUAGUAGGGAAGUCUGCGAUGCUGAGAGGCGAGAAAAGCUCCGGUGUAUGCUAAGGUGCCCGUACCGCAAACCGACACAGGUAGAUGAGGAGAGAAUCCUAAGGCCAACGGGAGAAGGGUUGUUAAGGAACUCGGCAAAAUUACCCCGUAACUUCGGGAUAAGGGGAGCUCCCUAAGGGGAGCCGCAGAGAAUAGGCCCAAGCGACUGUUUACCAAAAACACAGGUCUCUGCUAAAUCGAAAGAUGACGUAUAGGGGCUGACGCCUGCCCGGUGCCGGAAGGUUAAGAGGAGAGCUUAGCGCAAGCGAAGGUUCGAAUUGAAGCCCCGGUAAACGGCGGCCGUAACUAUAACGGUCCUAAGGUAGCGAAAUUCCUUGUCAGGUAAGUUCUGACCCGCACGAAUGGCGUAAUGAUUUGGGCACUGUCUCAACAGCCCGCCCGGCGAAAUUGUAGUACUGGUGAAGAUGCCAGUUACCCGCAACUAGACGGAAAGACCCCAUGGAGCUUUACUGCAGCUUAAUACUGGAAUUCGGUAAAUCAUGUACAGGAUAGGUGGGAGACUAGGAAGCAUUGGCGUCAGCCAGUGUGGAGUCGCUGGUGGGAUACCACUCUUGAUUUGCUGGGUUUCUAACCUGCGGCCGUGAAUCCGGUCGGGGGACACUGUUAGGCGGGCAGUUUGACUGGGGCGGUCGCCUCCAAAAGAGUAACGGAGGCGCUCAA